CAGCAGCCGCGGUAAUACGUAGGGUGCGAGCGUUAAUCGGAGUUACUGGGCGUAAAGCGUGCGCAGGCGGUUUUGUAAGACAGGCGUGAAAUCCCCGGGCUCAACCUGGGAAUGGCGCUUGUGACUGCAAAGCUAGAGUGCGGCAGAGGGGGAUGGAAUUCCGCGUGUAGCAGUGAAAUGCGUAGAUAUGCGGAGGAACACCGAUGGCGAAGGCAAUCCCCUGGGCCUGCACUGACGCUCAUGCACGAAAGCGUGGGGAGCAAACAGGAUUAGAUACCCGGGUAGUCCCUGUCUCUUAUAC
rnacentral:rRNA from 1 species